CGUCGUCCUCCCAGGACCUGUCUUGAAAGCGGUUCUCCAGGGAUUGAGCUUAUCCCGGCAUCGUGUCAAAACGGUAUCAACGGUUCUAGUAGGAGCGCCAGCGACACCUUCCCUACUCUUUUAGUGAAACAGCGCUCCAGCCUCAAGGAAAUGCUUGCCACGAGUCCUCUGAGAGGAGUCUAUGGAGUCACGCGUAUUGAGAGCAGCAGCGCUACCUUCCCAAUAUUUUCGCCAAUAAGAGCGCCAGCGACACUUCCCUAUUGUUGCUUCCUGAACGAGAGCAGCAGCGCUACCUUCCCCGUCAGUUAAUCCAGCAGCGUGCUCAGAGCCUUCACGAAGAGUCGGAUCAUUAUCUUAACGAUAGUUAAGCUGCCCCCAGCAAAGCACUCGGGGGUGACUCUGGAGGCGUAGGGUAAGCAUAUUUAUCUAUUCCGUUAACAAUCUUUCUCCAACCGUGAGAGAUGGGCCGCUUAAUCUUCAGAGACACGAUUGCUCGGCUCUUCGGAUUCUAACCAGUUGACCCUUGAGUGGUCGUAUGCUCAUUGUUCCUAUCUUGGUUAAAAAGACACCCAGUAACUCAUCUUCCAAUUCAAUAGAUGUCCACUAAAGACACGGCUUUCAUCAAAAAUCACGUCUCGUACACGUACGAUAGCUCCCGUCUUUGGGUUCCAGAUUUUUAUAUGUUAGUAGAAGAGUAUCCAGAGAUAACCUAUCCAGGCUUUGGAUUGAAUCGUUCGAGGCGGUUCUCCUUUUUCAGUGCGUUGGUGGUCAUAGCAUAUGCCCGCAACAUAUACCUUCAAAUGGCCAAUCUGAGGCUUCUGUCUUUAUACUUAUCCCAUUCAUCAAGGCAACUUGGGUGUGAAAGACGUCGAAUGGUGUCUUCCAUUUGAUCCAUACCGGGGGGAUAGGUUAUAAAGAUAUACGGUGCACGGCAUAUCUCUGGCCAUAGAUCCCUAGGGAACCGUGCACUCGCUCUCAUCGCUCUGCCUUUAUCUUUAAUGAUCCGUCCAACCCUUUCUGCUCCUCCAUUCUGCGCUUGAGGUAUGUGCAGAUGGCAGCAACUUGACGUGUUUUAGUGAGCCAGUAGCUACUCCAGGGAUAACCAUUGUGAUCUCUUGUCCAUUUCCAUCCUCUUCGGUGUGAGAUUAUAUUGUUUCUUGAGAUAAGCGAAAAGCCAUUUCAACAUGUCAAGGACCUCAAGAGUGGUAUGGCUAGUGAGAUAAAAAUCCCAGGUAUAACACUAUAACGAUAGUGAUUAACAUCAGUGUUCUUAUAUCUUUAUCAUCCUUCAACGUUGUUUUCUCAAAAUCGUGAAUGUCGAUAGCUAAUUCGUCUCCGGGCAGUUCAGCAGGUUUCCUAUAUUCCCUUCUACCAUACGCUGAAUCUUCGCCCGUGCAAUGCCUACAUUAACUGUUGUAGGCCCCUUAGAAAACCGGUCACUCGUACACCUUUAGUGGCAUUAGCAAGGUGUUGAAUAACCUGAGGACCAGGGUGGCCGAGGCGUGCAUGCCAUCGCUUUGCACUCGCUUUUCUCUCUUUCCUAGCGGUCAGGAAGUGUGCUGGUGACGUGUAUAAUAAAACCAGUUUUUAUCAUAGGAUGGUCAUGAUUAAUAUAUUCAAGAAUGAACUGGCCUUCCAUAUCUCGAAUAUAUGCACUAUUUGAUGAUCAUCCUCGUGUCGGAGGCAGUCGUAUCCUUGCCGGCCGUCCCACCAGAUUCCUUGCUUUCUUAGCUGGCGGAGUGACACCAGAUUGGCAACGAAGUCCUUGCAGUAUGCUACCUCAUAAAGGCGGAGAAAACGCAGCUGGUUGUUAGCGCCAUGGACCUCGAUAUCGACUUCUCCAUACCCGAGUAUUGGAACUUUGUGAGUUCCUGCCAGAGAUAGUCUCCAGGCCGUGCUUUCUGAAAGUUAUAAAGCGCUCUAUCUCAUUAAGACAUGUAUCGUGGAGCCUGAGUCUAAGAUGGAUGAAUGCUUAACGGAUAAUCAUUUAUUGACAGUGCGGCCAGGUCCUUUUCCAUUUGGACAAAGUAUGUGCUUUACACCGGCCAACUGCCAAU
rnacentral:lncRNA from 1 species